AAUUCUCAACCUUUCAGGCUUUCAUUAGAAAGCUCGUCAGGCUUGGAUUCUGGGAGUUUGCUGACUUAUAAUGAAUCAGCUCUUCUUAAAUGUAUUAGCAAGAUCAUCGCUGCAUCAUCUUUGAUAUGAUAAUUAUCUAUAUCAUUGAAUGAUAGCGUUUCCUUCAAGGAAAGAUCAGGCUUAAAAUCGUCUCAGGACAAACAAUACUUUGAAUC
rnacentral:misc_RNA from 1 species